rnacentral:rRNA from 1 species
GGUCAAGCGAUUAAGCGCACACGGUGGAUGCCUAGGCAGUCAGAGGCGAUGAAGGACGUGACAGCCUGCGAUAAGCGUCGGUGAGGUGGCAAAUGACCUGCGACCCGGCGAUUUCCGAAUGGGGAAACCCACUCAUCACAAGAUGAGUAUUCAUGAGCCAAUACAUAACUCAUGAAGGCGAACCGGGAGAACUGAAACAUCUAAGUACCCCGAGGAAAAGACAUCAAUUGAGAUUCCCCCAGUAGCGGCGAGCGAACGGGGAGCAGCCCUUAAGCAGUGCAACCGAUAGGCGAACAGUCUGGGAAGUCUGACCAUAGCAGGUGAUAGUCCUGUAGCCGAAAUCCGAGCAUUGUGAAAUCGAGUAGGUCGGGGCACGUGAAACCCUGACUGAACAUGGGGGGACCAUCCUCCAAGGCUAAAUACU